GGCUGCAGAUUACAAGAACUCUCCGAGGCAGCAGUUUGUACUGAAAGUCUCCCCCAAAACAACUUACCUGACGUAGAUGCAGAGGGCUAAAUGCAUGGAGUUCAAAUGAUUUCUUACUGAGGACGUCCAAAUUUUGCGUGUUCUAAAGUACUGCAAUUGCUCAUGGCCCAGCUGCUGUCCCAGGUGACCUGAAGUCCCAUGACAGCCAUCUAUAUUCUUCUGUGGAGAGAAGAAUGCAACCUGCACAGGGUUUUUAAAUGCUUCUCAACUACCUCGAUGGCUCGAAUACUUCAAAUCCAGACCAACUUGAACAAUGUUACCCAAGAACAUCCAGAACACCUGGACAGCGGGGAAGUUUCUGGCGAAGGUAGCUGGGAUGCAACUAUUGCAAUCAGGAAGACAAGGCAAUCAGUUUUGUGUGAGCUUUCCUUCAGGGACGUGACAAAAGAAGUGCAUUGGGAAGUGCCACCCCUGAUUUUUGUUCAGCAGACAUCCUUCAUCGCUUCUCUCUACAGUGCAGUCAACCCAAAGCCCACUGAAAAAAAAAAAAAAAAAAAAAAGCAUACCCAAAGAAACUAA
rnacentral:lncRNA from 1 species